rnacentral:rRNA from 1 species
GACAGAGGUGCCAAGCGUUAGGCGGAAUCACUGGGCUUAAAGCGUGUGUAGGCGGACUUCUAAGUACCUUGUGAAAUCCCACGGCUCAACCGUGGAACUGCUUGGUAUACUGGUUGUCUUGGGCCAUCUAGGGGCUAGCGGAACAAACGGUGGAGCGGUGAAAUGCGUAGAUAUCGUUUGGAACGCCAAUGGUGAAAACAGCUAGCUGGGGAUGUGCCGACGCUGAGACACGAAAGCCAGGGGAGCGAACGGG